rnacentral:rRNA from 1 species
UACGAAGGGGGCUAGCGUUGCUCGGAAUUAUUGGGCGUAAAGCGCACGUAGGCGGCUUUGCAAGUCGGAUGUGAAAUCCCUCGGCUCAACCAAGGAAGUGCAUCCGAAACUGCAGAGCUUGAGUACUUAAGAGGAUCGCGGAAUUCCCGGUGUAGAGGUGAAAUUCGUAGAUAUCGGGAGGAACACCAGUGGCGAAGGCGGCGAUCUGGGAAGAUACUGACGCUGAGGUGCGAAAGCGUGGGGAGCAAACAGG